rnacentral:rRNA from 1 species
CCCCUAGACGUCCUGGGCUGCACGCGCGCUACAAUAAUACGCACAGCGAGUAUCACCGAGCUCGAAAGGGCAAGGUAAACAAUAGAAAAGGUACUGUAAUGGUUAUAGAUCCUUGUAAUUAUUGAUCUUCAACGAGGAAUUCCUAGUAAGUAUGUGUCAUCAUCACGCACUGAUUACGUCCCUGCCCUUUGUACACACCGCCCGUCGCUCCUACCGAUUGAGUGAGCCGAUGAAACUGCCGGAUGUGGACUAUUCAUAGUCUGCAGAAGAUAUUUGAAUCGUAGCGCUUAGAGGAAGGAGAAGUCGUAACA